GUUUGAGAGAAGGGAUGACACAGUAGGAUAAGCUAAGCACACUGUUGGUUAUGUGUGCCCAAGCAUUGAGGCAGACAAAGCAGGCAAAUCCGCUUUGAUAAUGCUGGGAUGUGAUGGGGAGCGAAAUUUCGUAGCGAAGUAGCUGAUUUGACACUGUCAAGAAAAGUCUCUAUCGAGGGUAAAGGUACCCGUACCGCAAACCGACACAGGUGGGUGAGGAGAGUAUCCUAAGGCCAGCGAGAGAACUGUUGUUAAGGAACUCGGCAAAAUGACCCCGUAACUUAGGGAUAAGGGGUGCCACCAUCAGGUGGCCGCAGAGAAUAGGCCCAAGCGACUGUUUACCAAAAACAUAGGUUUCUGCUAAGUCGCAAGACGAUGUAUAGGAGCUGACGCCUGCCCGGUGCUGGAAGGUUAAGGGGAUCUGUUAGAGUAAUCGAAGCAGUGAACUUAAGCCCCAGUAAACGGCGGCCGUAACUAUAACGGUCCUAAGGUAGCGAAAUUCCUUGUCGGGUAAGUUCCGACCCGCACGAAAGGCGUAACGAUUUGGGCACUGUCUCA
rnacentral:rRNA from 1 species